rnacentral:rRNA from 1 species
AGGUCCUGCGGGCGGUGGAAACUACCAAACUGGAGUACGGUAGGGGCAGAGGGAAUUUCCGGUGGAGCGGUGAAAUGCGUAGAGAUCGGAAAGAACACCAACGGCGAAAGCACUCUGCUGGGCCGACACUGACACUGAGAGACGAAAGCUAGGGGAGCGAAUGGGAUUAGAUACCCCAGUAAGCUUCAUCAUCGAC